UCUCUACCUGAAAAAACACACAUUGUUGCUUUGAAUACUUACUGUUUCAUUUAUUUUUGUCUCGAAAGUUUCCUCUCUGAAUUUCUAAGCCGCGGCCUGCACCUGUACUGCGAAAACUGACUCUAGUCAUCUAGCAUGUGUCAUCCAAAUCAGCAUACACUUUCAACGAUUAGAGGCUUUUGACUAUUGCUGUAAGAAGACUGUGAGUUCAAGGCCAGCCUGGGCAACAUAACAAGACCCUGUAUGGAAAUAAUGUAUACCUCUAAUGAAUACUUUAAUGACAAGAAAAUAAUAUUUUAGUGCUACUAUGUAUAAUUAAUGUUGCUAAUAAAUUUUUGUAAUUUUUUAAGGUGAAUAUUCUCUUCUGGUUUGUAAUUGUAGUGUUGUGGAAGUUUUGUAGCAGAGAUAUUAGUCCUGAAACAUUGUAACUACAAACAUGUUUACACACAAAGUCAUAGGUGAAAACAAUAAAAUCCUCCAUAAGCUCAUCGCUUAGUAAUCUACACUA